CUCUCGUGUCCCCUGUCCCCUCUCAUCCUCGCUCCCCCUCUAGGGUCUCCGUUGACUUACCCGCGGGCCGGGACAGAGCAGCCUUCCUCAGCCACAUCCUUCCAUCAUGCCGUUUCUGCCCUGAAGCCAGCAUCAUAGAGUAAAUCCGCUGGAAAACACCGGAAACUGUGAUCCGAAUAAACCUCUCCUCCUUUAAAUUGUUGGUGUUGGGUAUUGUGUACAGCAACAAAAUAGCUAAUACCAAACUUGUGUCUCUAUUUGGAGGUAGGCCUUCUAAGAAGAAUUUUUGAAUAAGUAUGCCUAUUUUUCAGGGCCCAUGCAAAAUGAGAAGAGCCACAGGCAGGGCUUGUGGGGUAAAGGAAGCUGACGGAGGCUCAUGGAAAUUACUAAACUUGAGGGUAAACACAGAAUCACCUCAAAAGAUGAGAUACAUUCAUUGUAUCACAGUAUGAGGUAAAAUAAAGUAAUCUCACUUUAAAAUCUGUGCAGGACCUAGAUCUUUCCAAAAGACAGAUUGGGUCCUAUACGAGAUUGUGGACAGUGAGACCUUCAGCCUUGAGAACAGAAUUCCUCACAAAGACAAGGGUUUGUGAAGCCAGUGGUUAUCUCGCUCCCAACCAAUGGGGAAGUGAUGAGGAAGAGUGACAAGAGACAGCUGUCUGCUCUGGAAGACACACAGGAAUGGCCCUAGUAGCAGGAGAAACCCAAUAAAUGCUAGAAUUUUAUGGAUUUAUGAGAUAUUCUCAAAUCUAUACCUAUAUCCCAAUAUGCAUCUCACAUGUGACUCUACAUAAUUUAAAUACUACUAAUAAAAUAUAACAUUUAGUAUUUUCUAAGAGAUAAACAAAGACAGUACUAAGCCUAAUCCUCUAUGGUACUGCUAUAUAGUCAUCACUUGGGAGAUUUAGUGAUGCAGUGUCUUUAGUCAGAUAAAAGAUUCCCUUUGUUUAAUUGACGUUGUGUGUGUUCUAUUAGUACAAGAUAUGAUAGUUCAAGUUAAUGAUAGAAUUUCCAUUAGCUAAAAGAUAACCAUUAACUUAGGCACUGGGUUUUAGCUAUGCUUCAGUGCUAUGAAUCCUGGGUGGGUCCCAGAACUUUAGGGAUGUCACAGAUAGGUCAUAGAGCAUUGCCAAGGCUUUUGUCAUAACAGAUAUCUUACCAACCGCAGUGUGUACUGAGCAUUAGUUACUCAGGAGGGUGUUUAGUGAGCAGACAGCCUCUUGGAUUAGAGAUUGUUAUACAAAUGUCAUUCUUUAUCAUCAUCAUCUAACUUUUCAAGAGCAGAGUUAAGAAAGAAACUUUCCUAAUAUCACCAAUUAUCCAGUUGAAUCAUGAAACACAAAAGAAAAAUAAAACAUCUGGAACCUUCAUUGUUAAACUAAACAGAAAAGAGACCAAGAGAAGAGUUAGAUUUAUAAGAUGAUCUGCAGAGCAGAAACAAUGUACUGACCCCAACUCAAGACCAGGAAGAGAGCAAUAUUUCUUCAAAUCACUUCUUUUGCGAAGACAAAUUCUUUGGUGCAGGCAUGAAGUAAUGAUUAAAUAAGCACCUCUGGAAACCUUUUGGUGGAUGUCUUCAGUCAUGCUGUCUUCGCUGUCUUGAUGUCCUGAAUCAACUCCAAAUGUGCCAGGCCAGUAAAGAAGACACAUUUUUCCUUCUGCAUUGGUAAGAGUUAAAUUUGUUAGGAUUAUACUCCAAUUUGGGGGACACCUGUAUAUACAUUUUUUAGGUAAUGUAUGAUAUGUUCCUUCCUUCCUAGUAUGAUUGUAUUUGUUUGUGUCCUUACAUGUGCACAACCCUAGAGUAGUCAAAGAUUGAAUUUUAGUUAUUUUUAAAUUUAAAAUUCACAUUAUUUUUCAAUCACUCCUCAUAUUUAGGGGAAGAGAAAUUAAAAUAGUUAA